rnacentral:rRNA from 1 species
CGCGCAGCUACACAUGCAGUCGACGGUAGCACAGAGGAGCUUGCUCCUGGGUGACGAGUGGCGGACGGGUGAGUAAUGUCUGGGAAACUGCCCGAUGGAGGGGGAUAACUACUGGAAACGGUAGCUAAUACCGCAUAACGUCGCAAGACCAAAGAGGGGGACCUUCGGGCCUCUUGCCAUCGGAUGUGCCCAGAUGGGAUUAGCUAGUAGGUGGGGUAACGGCUCACCUAGGCGACGAUCCCUAGCUGGUCUGAGAGGAUGACCAGCCACACUGGAACUGAGACACGGUCCAGACUCCUACGGGAGGCAGCAGUGGGGAAUAUUGCACAAUGGGCGCAAGCCUGAUGCAGCCAUGCCGCGUGUGUGAAGAAGGCCUUCGGGUUGUAAAGCACUUUCAGCGGGGAGGAAGGCAUUACGGUUAAUAACCGUGUUGAUUGACGUUACCCGCAGAAGAAGCACCGGCUAACUCCGUGCCAGCAGCCGCGGUAAUACGGAGGGUGCAAGCGUUAAUCGGAAUUACUGGGCGUAAAGCGCACGCAGGCGGUCUGUCAAGUCGGAUGUGAAAUCCCCGGGCUCAACCUGGGAACUGCAUUCGAAACUGGCAGGCUUGAGUCUUGUAGAGGGGGGU